AAAUAAGUUCAUUUCCUUCUCUUGAUAUAAUUUUUUUUUCUGGUAUUAUCUAAACAUCCCUGGAUGGUUGAUGGUGUGGAUUUCCACUUAAUGCUUCAAAGCUUUUACCUACAGUAAAUAUGUGAGAUUACUACCAAAAGAUAAAGAGGAGAAGCUUGCUGAGACAAUCUCAUAUGAUGUAAUUCCACCAUAUGAUAAAGCAUGAGCACUUGCUAAAACUAAUUUGGAUAUUGAUGAAAUUGUUGCUGGAGUGCCUUGGGGAAAACUUCAACACAACUUGUAUAAUGAAUGUAUGAUCUUUAGCAGAAUGGACGAGCUCUUCAAAGUUGCUCAGGUAUGUUUAUGAGAAAGAAUACAUGUUCCCAGGUGGGUUGGGUUGUGUAAUGGGUCCAAACAAACAUGACUGCCUGGGUUGGGUAAAGGGUCAAAAUGGGCAGCUUUUAGAAAACAUGUCAAAUGGGUUCGGUUCAAAUGGGUCGGGUCAGAGCAAGUUCGCGUGCUAUACAUCCAUCAUUCCACCCAGUAUUUACCAAAACGAUCCCUGAAGUUUCUGCAUAUGUUGGUGGAUAGCAUGAUAGUGGUGAAGAAAUCAACACUGAAAAGUUUGAAUUGGAUCAUGGAAUUGCCCCAGUAGUUAUAAAAGGAUCUGAAAUUAAUCAUUCAGGGGGUGUCAGUGAAGAUAUCAGUGAAGAUAUCAAGCACGAAAAUUGAUCAAACCAUUUCAGAUUCGUGAAGCUGUCAAGGAACCUGUUGCAAUUUCGACCGAAAAAAGGAUCUUGAAGCACCGGAACUAGAAAAAAAGGCUCAAGAGAACAUGUUCGAAGAAGAAGCUGUGACAAACACGUUGCAGUUUUGAUUGAAAAGGAGGAUCUUGGGGGACCCAUGAAGUUGUAAGAAAGCCUGAACGAACCUGACACGGUUUGGAUCGAAAAAGAGGAUUUUGGUGCUACCGAAUCCAUUGACAAAGAAGCUGAUUCAGUUUAGAGUGAAAAGGAGGAUCUUGGUGCACACAAGUUGGAAAAAAAUGCUCAAAACAUCAACUUAUACAACAAAAAGUCAACAAUGCCCAUAAUCUUAGUUGAUGAUAUUAGCACUUAAACAGUUAAAGAUAAAACACAACAUGAAAACCAAUUUUCAUAUUAGUUUGUUUA